UUACUAUAGUCACAUAGAUUCAAGCAGUCUAGUAGACCCUCACGGAUGAUGUCACAUGUUAAAAAAGUUACCGACAUUUUUAAAGAUCAUGUUCUACGGAAUGUACCACGUCGGCCGUUUUUCUCAUUGAGACUACGGUAGAAUCGC
ensembl:ncRNA T23H2.6 ncRNA